rnacentral:rRNA from 1 species
GAUGAACGCUGGCGGCGUGCCUAAUACAUGCAAGUCGAACGCGAGAGGAGGGAGCUUGCUCCCUCUGAUCGAGUGGCGGACGGGUGAGUAACACGUAGGCAACCUGCCCAUCAGCCGGGGAUAACUGCGGGAAACCGUGGCUAAUACCGGAUAAUCCUCUCCACCGCGGGGUGGGGAGUUGAAAGACGGUUUCGGCUGUCGCUGAUGGAUGGGCCUGCGGCGCAUUAGCUGGUUGGCGGGGUAACGGCCCACCAAGGCAACGAUGCGUAGCCGACCUGGGAGGGUGAUCGGCCACACUGGGACUGAGACACGGCCCAGACUCCUACGGGAGGCAGCAGUAGGGAAUCUUCCGCAAUGGACGCAAGUCUGACGGAGCAACGCCGCGUGAGUGAAGAAGGGUUUCGGCUCGUAAAACUCUGUUGUUAAGGAAGAACGCCAGGUAGAGUAACUGCUACCUGUGUGACGGUACUUAACCAGAAAGCCACGGCUAACUACGUGCCAGCAGCCGCCGUAA